UACGUAGGGACCGAGCGUUGUCCGGAUUCAUUGGGCGUAAAGAGCUCGUAGGCGGCUGUUCAAGUCGAACGUGAAAACUCGGAGCUCAACUCCGAGCCUGCGUUCGAUACUGGACGGCUAGAGUCUGGUAGGGGGAUCUGGAAUUCCUGGUGUAGCGGUGAAAUGCGUAGAUAUCGAGAGGAACACCUGCGGCGAAGGCGGGUUGCUGGGCCGACACUGACGCUGAUGCGCGAAAGCCAGGGGAGCGAACGGG
rnacentral:rRNA from 1 species